UGAGAAUGCCGGAAUGAGUAGCGAGAAUUAUGUGAGAAUCAUAAUGGCCGAAAGACUAAGGUUUUAGAAGGAAGGUUCGUCCGCUUCUAGUCAGCCGGGAGCUAAGGCGAGGCCGAAAGGCGUAGUCGAUGCACAUACGGUGGAGAUUCCGUAGCCGCCAUUAAUUUAAACAGAGGGACACUUUCAAGGGGCAUGACCCGGGCGUUGGUAGACCCGGGCGUAAGGGACCGAAGAUUAGUAGGGAAGCAUGCUUUAAGGAAGGCGAGAAAAGCUCUGUGUAUAGAAGAUGGCGCCCGUACCGCAAACCGACACAGGUAGUCAGGAAGAGAAUUCUAAGGCCAACGGGAGAAGGGUAGUUAAGGAACUCGGCAAAUUGACCCCGUAACUUCGGAAUAAGGGGUGCUCACGAGAGUGAGCCGCAGUGAAUAGGUCCAGGCGACUGUUUAUCAAAAACACAGCUCUCUGCUAAAUCGAAAGAUGACGUAUAGGGGGUGACACCUGCCCGGUGCUGGAAGGUUAAGAGGAAGGGUGCAAGCUCUGAAUUGAAGCCCCAGUAAACGGCGGCCGUAACUAUAACGGUCCUAAGGUAGCGAAAUUCCUUGUCGGGUAAGUUCCGACCCGCACGAAUGGUGUAACGAUCUGGGCACUGUCUCAACUACCCACCCGGCGAAAUUGUAGUACCGGUGAAGAUGCCGGUUACCUGCGGCAAGACGGAAAGACCCCAUGGAGCUUUACUGUAGCCUGAUAUUGGGUUUCGGAAAUCUAUGUACAGGAUAGGCGGGAGACUGGGAAGUAUGAGCGUCAGCUUAUACGGAGUCAUUGUUGGGAUACCGCCCUUAGGUUUCUGGAAUUCUAACCUGCGACCGUGAAUCCGGUCGGGGGACAUUGUCAGGUGGGCAGUUUGACUGGGGCGGUCGCCUCCGAAAAGGUAACGGAGGCGCUCAAAGGUUGGCUCAGCACGGACGGAAACCGUGCCUCAGAGUGUAAACGCAAAAGCCAGCCUAACUGCGAGGAUGACGGUCCGAGCAGUAACGAAAGUUGGAGUUAGUGAUCCGGCGGUAUGUGAAUGGAAAUGCCGUCGCUCAACGGAUAAAAGCUACCCUGGGGAUAACAGGCUGAUCUCCCCCAAGAGUCCACAUCGACGGGGAGGUUUGGCACCUCGAUGUCGGCUCAUCACAUCCUGGGGCUGUAUUCGGUCCCAAGGGUUCGGCUGUUCGCCGAUUAAAGUGGUACGCGAGCUGGGUUCAGAACGUCGCGAGACAGUUCGGUCCCUAUCUGUCGUGGGCGCAGGAUAUUUGAGGAGCUCUGUCCUUAGUACGAGAGGACCGGGAUGGACGUACCUCUGGUGCACCAGUUGUCAUGCCAAUGGCACGGCUGGGCAGCUACGUACGGAACGGAUAAACGCUGAAAGCAUCUAAGCGUGAAGCCGACUCCAAGAUUAGAUAUCCCAUUGCAUAAGCAAGUAAGACCCCUUGAGGACUACGAGGUUGAUAGGCUGCGUGUGUAAGUGUCGUGAGGCAUUUAGCUUGGCAGUACUAAUAGGUCGAGGGCUUGACCA
rnacentral:rRNA from 1 species